rnacentral:rRNA from 1 species
AUUGAACGCUGGCGGCAGGCCUAACACAUGCAAGUCGAGCGGAUGACAUGAGCUUGCUCCUUGAUUCAGCGGCGGACGGGUGAGUAAUGCCUAGGAAUCUGCCUGGUAGUGGGGGACAACGUUUCGAAAGGAACGCUAAUACCGCAUACGUCCUACGGGAGAAAGCAGGGGACCUUCGGGCCUUGCGCUAUCAGAUGAGCCUAGGUCGGAUUAGCUAGUAGGUGAGGUAAUGGCUCACCUAGGCGACGAUCCGUAACUGGUCUGAGAGGAUGAUCAGUCACACUGGAACUGAGACACGGUCCAGACUCCUACGGGAGGCAGCAGUGGGGAAUAUUGGACAAUGGGCGAAAGCCUGAUCCAGCCAUGCCGCGUGUGUGAAGAAGGUCUUCGGAUUGUAAAGCACUUUAAGUUGGGAGGAAGGGCAGUAAGUUAAUACCUUGCUGUUUUGACGUUACCGACAGAAUAAGCACCGGCUAACUCUGUGCCAGCCGCCGCUGUAAGAC